AGUGACCAGAUAGUUUCAGUUUCUCAGUACUUCACCCUCAUCAAAGGUUACAGGAAUUUUCAACAUUUGCUCACUUGGGGAAAUCCAGAAAGCCUCACAGGAUUGCAGGAGGAAAUGAAAAUUAAAAAAUAAACGCAAAGCCCAUCCACCUGUGCUGAAGAGCAAGAGCAGUAAGAAGAGGCACUUGAUCUUGCUAGGGACACAGUUAAAUGACUAUGGUCAGGAUGGAGCAGAGCUACUACUGAAAGGGCUGACUGUGGCUGAUUUUCGAGAGGGGACACAGAAAGUGAUGCAUGGUGAAGAGCCACCACCUUGGUGAAGGACAAAGAGAGAAAAUGCUGUGUUGAGUUUUCUAGGUUGUAUUCAUUUCAUCACUGAUCGAAUGAUUGACAGCAACAAUAAGAGGAAGGAUUUAAUUGGCUCAAAGUUCAAGGGAUAUCAGUCCAUCUAU